CCCUUAGUACGGCGAGUGAAGCGGCAAAAGCUCAAAUUUGAAAUCUGGUACCUUCGGUGCCCGAGUUGUAAUUUGGAGAGGGCAACUUUGGGGCCGUUCCUUGUCUAUGUUCCUUGGAACAGGACGUCAUAGAGGGUGAGAAUCCCGUGUGGCGAGGAGUGCGGUUCUUUGUAAAGUGCCUUCGAAGAGUCGAGUUGUUUGGGAAUGCAGCUCUAAGUGGGUGGUAAAUUCCAUCUAAAGCUAAAUAUUGGCGAGAGACCGAUAGCGAACAAGUACAGUGAUGGAAAGAUGAAAAGAACUUUGAAAAGAGAGUGAAAAAGUACGUGAAAUUGUUGAAAGGGAAGGGCAUUUGAUCAGACAUGGUGUUUUGUGCCCUCUGCUCCUUGUGGGUAGGGGAAUCUCGCAUUUCACUGGGCCAGCAUCAGUUUUGGUGGCAGGAUAAAUCCAUAGGAAUGUAGCUUGCCUCGGUAAGUAUUAUAGCCUGUGGGAAUACUGCCAGCUGGGACUGAGGACUGCGACGUAAGUCAAGGAUGCUGGCAUAAUGGUUAUAUGCCGCCCGUCUUGAACCAACCGGACACA
rnacentral:rRNA from 1 species